rnacentral:rRNA from 1 species
AUUGAACGCUGGCGGCAGGCCUAACACAUGCAAGUCGAGCGGAGCGGCGGACGGGUGAGUAAUGCCUAGGAAUCUGCCUGGUAGUGGGGGAUAACGUCCGGAAACGUGCGCUAAUACCGCAUACUAUCAGAUGAGACUAGGUCGGAUUAGCUAGUAGGUGGGUUAAAGGCCUACAAAGGCGACGAACCGUAACUGGUCUGAGAGGAGGAUCAGUAACACUGUAACUGAGACACGGUCCAGACUCCUACGUGAGGCAGCAGUGGGGAAUAUUGGACAAUGGGCGAAAUCCUGAUCCAGCCAUGCCGCGUGUUGGAAGAAGGUCUUCGGAUUGUAAAGCACUUUAAGUUGGGAGGCGUUACCAACAGAAUAAGCACCGGCUAACUUCGUGCCAGCAGCCGCGGUAAUUC